rnacentral:rRNA from 1 species
AGGGCACCACCAGGAGUGGAGCCUGCGGCUUAAUUUGACUCAACACGGGAAAACUCACCCGGCCCGGACACUGGAAGGAUUGACAGAUUGAGAGCUCUUUCUUGAUUCAGUGGGUGGUGGUGCAUGGCCGUUCUUAGUUGGUGGAGCGAUUUGUCUGGUUAAUUCCGAUAACGAACGAGACUCUAGCCUACUAAAUAGACUGCCGUUCCUUUGUGACGGUAGGACUUCUUAGAGGGACAGGGGGGGACUCAACCGCACGAAACAAAACAAUAACCGGUCUGUGAUGCCCUUAGAUGUCCGGGGGCGCACGCGCGCUACACUGAAAUGAUCAGCGUGCAUUAAUAACCCUCUCUGUCAAGAGUGGGUAACCCAUUGAACCUUCUUCGUGAUUGGGAUAGGGUAUUGUAAUUCUUACCCUUGAACGAGGAAUUCCCAGUAAGCGCGAGUCAUAAGCUUGCGUUGAUUACGUCCCUGCCCUUUGUACACACCGCCCGUCGCUACUACCGAUUGAAUGAUUUA